AUGGGUGAGUAACACGUGGGUAACCUGCCCUAAAGUCUGGGAUACCACUUGGAAACAGGUGCUAAUACCGGAUAACAACAAUAGCUGCAUGGCUAUUGCUUAAAAGGCGGCGAAAGCUGUCGCUAAAGGAUGGACCCGCGGUGCAUUAGCUAGUUGGUAAGGUAAUGGCUUACCAAGGCGACGAUGCAUAGCCGAGUUGAGAGACUGAUCGGCCACAUUGGGACUGAGACACGGCCCAAACUCCUACGGGAGGCAGCAGUAGGGAAUCUUCCACAAUGGGCGAAAGCCUGAUGGAGCAACGCCGCGUGAGUGAAGAAGGUUUUCGGAUCGUAAAGCUCUGUUGUUGGUGAAGAAGGAUAGAGGUAGUAACUGGCCCCUAUUUGACGGUAAUCAACCAGAAAGUCACGGCUAACUACGUGCCAGCAGCCGCGGUAAUACGUAGGUGGCAAGCGUUGUCCGGAUUUAUUGGGCGUAAAGCGAGCGCAGGCGGAAAGAUAAGUCUGAUGUGAAAGCCCCCGGCUUAACCGAGGAAUUGCAUCGGAAACUGUGUUUCUUGAGUGCAGAAGAGGAGAGUGGAACUCCAUGUGUAGCGGUGGAAUGCGUAGAUAUAUGGAAGAACACCAGUGGCGAAGGCGGCUCUCUGGUCUGUAACUGACGCUGAGGCUCGAAAGCAUGGGUAGCGAACAGGA
rnacentral:rRNA from 1 species